GUGCCAGCAGCCGCGGUAAUACGUAGGUGGCAAGCGUUGUCCGGAAUUAUUGGGCGUAAAGCGCUCGCAGGCGGUCUUUUAAGUCUGAUGUGAAAUCUUGCAGCUUAACUGCAAGCGGUCAUUGGAAACUGGAGGACUUGAGUACAGAAGAGGAGAGUGGAAUUCCACGUGUAGCGGUGAAAUGCGUAGAGAUGUGGAGGAACACCAGUGGCGAAGGCGACUCUCUGGUCUGUAACUGACGCUGAGGAGCGAAAGCGUGGGUAGCGAACAGGAUUAGAUACCCUGGUAGUCC
rnacentral:rRNA from 1 species